rnacentral:rRNA from 1 species
GACUACGGGAGGCAGCAGUGGGGAAUAUUGCACAAUGGGGGAAACCCUGAUGCAGCAACGCCGCGUGAGUGAGGAAGUAUUUCGGUAUGUAAAGCUCUAUCAGCAGGGAAUAGAAAAGAAGGUACCUGAAAAAGAAGCCCCGGCUAACUACGUGCCAGCAGCCGCGGUAAUACGUAGGGGGCAAGCGUUAUCCGGAUUUACUGGGUGUAAAGGGAGCGUAGACGGAAAGGCAAGUCAGAAGUGAAAACCCAAGGCUCAACCAUGAGACUGCUUUUGACACUGUCAAACUAGAGUACGGGAGAAGUAAGAGGCAUUCCUAGUGUAGCGGUGAAAUGCGUAGAUAUUAGGAGGAACACCAGUGGCGAAGGCGUCUUACUGGACCGAAACUGACGUUGAGGCUCGAAAGCGUGGGGAGCGAACAGGAUUAGAUACACUUGUAGUC